UAUAACCGGGAGCCUCGGGGACGCUGAUUGGCUGCUCUGGAAACCGCUCAGCCAAUGGGAGUGAGAAGUGUGGUCGCGUCACGAGUCUCCAGGAAGGAGGCGCCGACACAGGUCAGUGCUGGGAAGAGGAAGGACCAUGGAGGUCGGGUGUCAGCCCAUUCAUGCUGAGCUUGGCCUCAGCGCCCAUGUCAGCGGAGAGAAAAGGCGAGUAUGUCCUCCAUCUCCUGCAAGCAGUGCUGACCCCCCACCUCCCGGGAAAGGCUCUCAGAUCAUUCAGGGUUCCACAGACCGCACUUUGAGAAAGGUUGAUCUGGAUAAACCAGGGAGAGAAUCCCAACUGUCCCUGCCUUUCCCUCCUCUUCUCUUCCCAGAAUCCCUCUGCAUAAGGAAGGGGGUCCCUGCACCCCAAAACUGAGCUCACAGCACUGCCCCUGGGACCUUCUAGAAGAGAGUUCACCCUGAAAAUCCGACAGGGAGUGUCCUCAGCCUGGGAGGGAGGUGGAGGGACAAGGGUGUCCCCUCUGGGACAGGGAGCAGUUUGUGCCUGAAGACACCAGGCCCACAGACACCCAUGUGGUUUCUCCACCCCAGCUGAGUGUGUGCUCACAUCCCAGACAGAAACCUGACGUGUCUGUAGGAGAAGCCAUCUUGGCCCUUUUAUUUUAUUCCUUUGAUUUUUAAAAAUAUGUUUUUAUUGGCAUUAGAGAGAGAGGAAGGGGGAGGGAGAAAGAGAGGAACGUGGAUGUGAGAGAGAAGCCCUGAUUGGUUGGCUCCCCUAAGCGCCCUGACCCGGGGUCACACCUGAAACCUUUUAGUGACCAGGACAGCGCUCACCCCACUGGCUGCACCGGCUAGGCCCGGCCCUUUUAUGCAAAUGGGCCGAGUGCUCUGACCUGAGGCCCGACCCUGUGCAGAGCAGUCUGUCCAGCAGGACAUUCUGUGAGCGAGGACUCGCUCUGCGUCGGUUCCUCCUACGUGGCACCCUCCAGCUGCUGUGGCCACUGAGCCCUUGACACGUGGCUCCUGUGCAGAGCUGGGGGACUUGCAUGUCAUGGACCUUUAAUUCAGCCGCCAUGGAGGUUGUGGAGCUCCCACAUGAGACAGCGCCCAGCUAAAUGCUCUUAGUUUCCAGUCUUUGCCCCCACAGGACACCGUUUGGCUCAUUGAUGGAUGGAGGUGACAGUUGUCUUCACCUGGAAGCCAUGGGUUUUCAUGUGUCACUGACUUCAGUUGUGUGUGUGGGUCUCAGAUACACCCUCACUCACAGCUGCCAGGAGAGUGUAAUUAAUAGGCAUUUAACACCGAGCUGCACAGGCAUGAACUCAAAUGUGAGUUACCCCCUAAGGGUGAAGGGUUCACAAACGCUCCUCCCUGCAGCCAUCCUGUGUCCAUCACCUGGGACCUUGGUGUUGUGUUUGUUCACCUGGUGAACAUGGGCAGGCACACAGGGCUUUACCGCAAGAGAAAAUGGAUAUUAAACCCAACAGACAGCAGCUCCCUGUAGGCCCCACACAUACUUAUACAACAUAAAGCAGAGGCUGUCACCUGUAGAUUCCACCCUAGAAUCCCUUACCUACUGCUCCUCCCCUUAACUUCCCCCCAACAUUCUAACAAUUCUGUUUCCCUUCGCCCUUGGAUAGCUCUCCCCCUGAUGAAAUUAUAUAUGAAGCCUUUUCAGUUGUGUAAUGAAAAUUUCUCCAUCCAAGACCCAAAGAUGAAAAACCAUGAAGGAAAACAUGAAACUUUUCUGUGUCAACCUCACACCCCAGAGAUACAAACUCAGGGCCAGAAUCAAAGUCAGAGACGCACAAAGAUGUUGACAGGGAAAGGGUCCCGUGGCCCAGUGUUCCUCAGCCAAAGGCCAGGAGGCUCCCUGUGGGCAGGCGAGGUGGGUCAGUCAUCAUUGCUGGAGGAACAAUGCUUCCCAUGGGGACCAUGGGGCAUCCUAGUGGGAAGGGGGGAGAGAGGACACAUCUAGGGUGUGGGCUCUGGAUGGACGGCCUGGGGGAGGGUCUGGGGAGCAGGCUUCUCUAGAUGGUGCUGUCAGGAGGGGCAGCUCUAUGGGUGGGCAGCUCAGUGACCAUCUAGGGACAAGACCGCCUGCAGCGAGGGUGGAGGGGCCGCUGGGGAGAAGCAGCCUCGCUUCCAGGAGCCAGCGCAGGGAGCUGUGUGGUCCUCUCUGAACUGGGGGAGGCCCUGUGUGUGUCUGUGUUUAGACGCCGGGAGUGGGUGUUGCUCUGUCUCCCUUGUCAGGGCCUCAGGGCGGCCGGGUCUGAGGGUGACGCUCUGAGAGGUGACUUGUGUCCAGCAGGAGAGGAACCCGGCCCAGCUGUGAGCUCCGGCCCAGCUCCCGACAGCACUGAGGCCUCGUGUGUCAGACCAGUUCCCGUGGGGGCUGCUUCUCCUUCUGUCUGAAGUCCAAUAUCUAACAGCAUCCACCACCCAAUCCACAAGUAACGCACAUGAGGAGACAAUGUGGAAAAGAUGAAAUACAAACGUCAAACAAGUGUAUUUGUAAUAAACACAUGUGA